AUUCAGUCGACGAAUCUCGAAUAGGAUGAAACGCGCGUCCUGGAU
rnacentral:hammerhead_ribozyme from 1 species